rnacentral:rRNA from 1 species
AGAAUCAACGCUGGCGGCGUGCCUAACACAUGCAAGUCGAACGAGAAAGUGGAGCAAUCCAUGAGUAAAGUGGCGCACGGGUGAGUAACACGUGACUAACCUACCUUUUAGUGGGGGAUAACCUAGGGAAACCUGGGCUAAUACCGCAUAACACCUACGGGUCAAAGCAGCAAUGCUCUGAAAGAGGGGGUCGCGGUCGAUUAGUUAGUUGGCAGGGUAAUGGCCUACCAAGACUGUGAUCGAUAUCCGGCCUGAGAGGGCGCACGGACACACUGGAACUGAAACACGGUCCAGACUCCUACGGGAGGCAGCAGUGGGGAAUUUUGCGCAAUGGGGGAAACCCUGACGCAGCAACGCCGCGUGGAGGAUGAAGUCCCUUGGGACGUAAACUCCUUUCGAUCGGGACGAUAAUGACGGUACCGGAAGAAGAGCCCGGCUAACUUCGCGCCAGCAGCCGC